rnacentral:rRNA from 1 species
GACGAACGCUGGCGGCGUGCUUAACACAUGCAAGUCGAACGUGAUUUUUGUGGAAAUUCUUUCGGGAAUGGAAAUGAAAUGAAAGUGGCGAACGGGUGAGUAACACGUGAGCAACCUACCUUACACAGGGGGAUAGCCGUUGGAAACGACGAUUAAUACUGCAUGAGACCACAGAAUCGCAUGAUAUAGGGGUCAAAGAUUUAUCGGUGUAAGAAGGGCUCGCGUCUGAUUAGCUAGUUGGAAGGGUAAAGGCCUACCAAGGCGACGAUCAGUAGCCGGUCGGAGAGGAUGAACGGCCACAUUGGAACUGAGACACGGUCCAAACUCCUACGGGAGGCAGCAGUGGGGAAUAUUGCACAAUGGGGGGAACCCUGAUGCAGCGACGCCGCGUGAGCGAAGAAGGUUUUCGAAUCGUAAAGCUCUGUCCUAUGAGAAGAUAAUGACGGUAUCAUAGGAGGAAGCCCCGGCUAAAUACGUG